UACGGAGGGGGCUAGCGUUGUCCGGAAUUACUGGGCAUAAAGGGUGCGUAGGUGGCUUGUUAAGUCAGGGGUGAAAGUUUUCGGCCCAACCGGAAAAUGGCCUUUGAUACUGGCGAGCUCGAGUGCGUGAGGGGUAACCGGAACGAGCAGUGUAGGCGGUGAAAUGCGUAGAUAUUGCUCGGAAGGCCAACGGCGAAGGCAGGUUACCGGUACGCAACUGACACUGAGGCACGAAAGCGUGGGGAGCAAACAGG
rnacentral:rRNA from 1 species